rnacentral:rRNA from 1 species
CCCAGACUCCUACGGGAGGCAGCAGUGAGGAAUAUUGGUCAAUGGGCGCGAGCCUGAACCAGCCAAGUCGCGUGAGGGAUGACGGCCCUACGGGUUGUAAACCUCUUUUGUCGGGGAGCAAAGAGAGUCACGUGUGACUCAUUGAGAGUACCCGAAGAAAAAGCAUCGGCUAACUCCGUGCCAGCAGCCGCGGUAAUACGGAGGAUGCGAGCGUUAUCCGGAUUUAUUGGGUUUAAAGGGUGCGCAGGCGGAGGUGCAAGUCAGCGGUAAAAUCGCGGGGCUCAACCUCGCUCCGCCGUUGAAACUGGCGUUCUUGAGUGGGCGAGAAGUAUGCGGAAUGCGUGGUGUAGCGGUGAAAUGCAUAGAUAUCACGCAGAACUCCGAUUGCGAAGGCAGCAUACCGGCGCCCAACUGACGCUGAAGCACGAAAGCGUGGGUAUCGAACAGGAUUAGAUACCCCCGUACC